UACGAAGGGGCAAGCGUUGUUCGGAAUCAUUGGGCGUAAAGGGCGCGUAGGUGGUUCUGUAUGUCUAUCGUGAAAGCAUACAGCUCAACUGUAUUUUGUCGGUAGAAACUGCAGGACUUGAGGCUGGGAGGGGCUGGUGGAAUUCCCUGUGUAGCGGUGAAAUGCGUAGAGAUGGGGGAGAACACUCGUGGCGAAGGCGGCCAGCUAGACCAGUUCUGACACUGAGGCGCGACAGCGUGGGGAGCAAACAGG
rnacentral:rRNA from 1 species